rnacentral:rRNA from 1 species
AUUGAACGCUGGCGGCAGGCCUAACACAUGCAAGUCGAGCGGAUGAAGGGAGCUUGCUCUUGGAUUCCGCGGCCGACGGGCGAGUAAUGCCUAGGAAUCUGCCUGGUCGUGGGGGCUAACGUCCGGACACGGGCGCUAAUACCGUAUACGUCCUGAGGGAGAACGUGGGGGAUCUUCGGACCUCACGCUAUCAGAUGAGCCUAGGUCGGAUUAGCUAGUUGGUGGGGUUAAGGCCUACCAAGGCGACGAUCCGUAGCUGGUCUGAGAGGAUGAUCAGUCACACUGGAACUGAGACACGGUCCAGACUCCUACGGGAGGCAGCAGUGGGGAAUAUUGGGCAAUGGGCGAAAGCCUGAUCCAGCCAUGCCGCGUGUGUGAAGAAGGUCUUCGGAUUGUAAAGCACUUUUAGUUGGGAAGAAGAGCAGUAAGUUAAUACCUUGCUGUUUUGACGGUACCAACAGAAUAAGCACCGGCUAACUUCGUG